GGGAGAGAGAAUCCUCCCCUGGAAUUUUUAAGUAUUUGUCUGAUUGUUGCUAAUCUUGUGCUUUGUCUGCACAACUUUUCGUAGUUAAUGAACAUGGCAUAAAAGGAGCGGAAAAUCUUACACAGAGGUCAUCAAACUUUUUUUGUUUUGUUUUUUGUUUUAUUUUUCUAGCAUUACAUUUUGUUUUGAUUUUUUUAAUCUAAAGUGAUAAAAGGCAUGAUUUGGAAAGUAAAACAUAAGGCCUCUACUUUAUUUUAGAAUUAAACAGUUUGAAAAUUAAUCCCCAAUAAAAUAAAUUCCUUGAAAAUGGAAACAAUGUUAGACUAUUCUGAGCGCAAUGAUGUCAUUGAUUAUUGAAAGUAUAAACAUCAAGUCUAGGCAUUCGUUCUUAACAACUAUAAUUAGAAAUAAUUGAUAUAAGAGGUUCAUGUAUCAUACUUGUAGAGUCUAUUUAAGAAUCAGUUUAUCUUUUCUACUUAUUGUAUUUUCUAUAUACAU
rnacentral:lncRNA from 1 species